CAAGAACGACUCCCGGCAACGGAUAUCUCGGCUCUCGCAUCGAUGAAGAACGUAGCGAAAUGCGAUACUUGGUGUGAAUUGCAGAAUCCCGUGAACCAUCGAGUCUUUGAACGCAAGUUGCGCCCGAAGCCGUCAGGUUGAGGGCACGUCUGCCUGGGUGUCACAC
rnacentral:rRNA from 1 species